CGACGCCGAGGAGAACGCCUUGCGGGGCGCCUCGCUGGGGUCGUCGGGGCGCUCCGGGAGGCAGACGGCUCGCAGCUUGCGCAGGGACGAGCCAGGCUCGCCAUAAGGGUCCUCGAAGUCGCGGUCCUUCUGCGCGCGGCUAAAGAAGACCAACUCUCAGUUUGUCCUUGUAUGGGAGGUGCUCCAGCCCUCUGAUCAUCUUUGUAGCCCUCCUCUGGACCUGUUCCAACACCUCCAUAUCCUUCUUAUAUUGAGGGUUCCAGAACUGGACACAGUACUCCAGGUAAUUACAAAUUAAUGAACGUCAGCAACCCUAGCAUGGAUACCAUGGGCACGCAGCUAUUAGUCUCUUUUGGAGGCAGUGCUGAGGAGUCAUGUGCCAGAUGGAGACAGUUGUCCAUAGGACUAAUGAUCCAAAAUACCUGUGCUCUUUGUAGUAGUGGCAGGAAAGCUUCUGUUUGCCGGUGAACCAGCCCCUUCUUCAGCCGCUGGGUGUCACUCGGCUGUAAACUGAAGAAAUGCAAACCGUAGGGGCAGGAUGCACACAGGAGCAGCCGGCGGCUUCGCAGCUUUCUUGAUCCCAGAAUAAUGUCAUAACAUCUGUUCUCAGGAAGGCUUUGGGCUUUGCAGGACGUUGAGAAGAGGAAGGUAACUGGAGCUGCACCUAAGAACUUCACGAACCAGUUUGCAUCAUGUCUGAUGGUGUGGGGAGGGGCCCUGGCCUGCAGCUGGGAUGGUGAUUAGUUUCAGUUCAGUUUCAACAAUUUUAAAAUAACCAAAAGUACGAUUCCACUCUCUUUUGGACAGAGCUGAAUCAGGAGAAACUGAAGCUAAUGAAAAAAGCAAAAUGAAAAGGACAAGCACAACUCAACAAGGACUCAAGAGACACAAAAGAGCCAAAGCUCAAGUAUCGAGGUCCACAGUUUUGUGUUGACCCUGUCCUGCUAAGUGCUUUCUUCCACAUUUGGACUUCAUGGACAGACACUGACAGAAUAUAGUUUGCCAUCUGAUACAGUUGCACAGGGAAGCUCUCUUUAAACAAGCAAGCAAACGAAAUGCACUCAACCAACAAGAACAACUUCCAUCACUGUAAAUCUUUUUGUCUCUUAAACUUAGGAAAUCUUAGAAUAGGAAAAAUACCACUGCACAUUGCCCUCCUGAGCAGAAUUUCUCUCUGCCUUCUUUUCCACUUGGUACUUACUUACAAACAAGAAAGAAGAAGAAAGCAAAGUUGGAAGGAUGCUUCUCCCUCCGGCUGCAUGUUAAAGGGCUAUUUCAUGGAAGUGCAUUAUUCUUUACUGAAACACAGUCACACAUCCAGGAACAGCAUCUCUACAGGUGACCUUCUUCAGGCCACAGUUACAGUCCUAUACAUGAGAAGGGAAUUUUUGAGCUGGUGAAGUUGUACUGGGUACAGCUCUAGAAUUACAAUCUGGCAGAAGGAAAAGGAAAACAAUAUUGAGAACCACUGAACUAGGUUAAUGGCAGUGAAGGCAGCUUGAAUACCUCUUUCCUUCUCAGUAGAGCAUGCUCACUGCAGUCCAGGGUUCCAAUAGCGUGUUGAAACUUGUGACAUAUUUUCCUCCUUCCACAGCUGCCUUUUUAGACAAGAUUUCCUGUUUUCACUGCUGAGAGCAACCCUGUACCCCAGUAUGGCAGAGCAUUGCAGCCCUAUAUGAGAAGUGAGUUUCUGAGUUGGUAAGGUUGAACUGGAUGCAGCUCUAAAAUUUCAAGCUGGCAGGAUAAAAAGAAAAACAAUAUGGAGAACAUUUUGGACAACAACAGCAGUACAUUCUGCGGUAUUUUAAACCAGUGGUUGACAAGUAGACAUGGAACAAUGAAGGCUCAAUUUCCAAAAGAAUGCUUCAUUAUGAUCUUCUGGAGCUUGCUUGUGUCUUCAAUAUUUUCCCUGUAUCCAGAAGACAAAUAAAUUUUCCAGCAAGUGAAUAGACAAUGAUAUGAAUAGAAUAGAAUGAUAUGAAACAAUAUUUUGAUCACUGCUUUCCUGUUGUUUUGAAUAUGUAGGAGAUUUUAAGUUUGAAUGUUGAUUUUACUUCAAAUUGAUCUGUUUCUGCUCUAUGUUUUGCUUGCUUAAGGCUUUUAUUGUUUCAAGUCUUGCAAGUAUAUGAAAUGUACCAGAAACAGAAAUUACAGGGGGUUGCUUAGACAAAAGGUCGCACCCUUAGCAAGUUAUUAUCUUCCUUUUAUUAUUGUUAUUCUAUGAUUCUAUGAUUGUUGGAACUGUGUGCUCUGUUGGAGAAAAAGCAUAGAUGAAACAUAGAAUAGUUUGGAUUGGGAGCAACCUUAAAGAUCAUCUAGUUCCAACCCCCCUGCCACGGGCAGGGACAUCCCACUAGGCCAGGCUGCCCAAGGCCCCAUCCAUCCUGGCCUUGAACACCUCCAGGAAUGGGGCAUCCAUGUCCUGGAGCAUGUCAUAGGGGAUCUGGCCUUGAACACUUCCAGGGGUGGGGCAUCCACCACCUGAAGCAUGUCAUAGGUGAUUGGUGACUCAGAACAGGCCAAUCUUAAAGAGGAACAUUUUGCAACCACAAGUUAACUGACGACAGAAGUGCCUGAGAGUAAACUAUCCUCAUUUAAAUGUCAUUAUAAUGCUAAAAAUCACACCCUCAGGCUAAGGGGCCCCAGGCAGGGGAAGAGCCCUAUUCAUGGCGCAUGUGUAUUUUUGUUAUGUAAUUAUGUAAUGGUA